UACGGAGGGGGCUAGCGUUGUUCGGAAUUACUGGGCGUAAAGCGCACGUAGGCGGCUUUGUAAGUUAGAGGUGAAAGCCCGGAGCUCAACUCGGAAUUGCCUUUAAGACUGCAUCGCUUGAAUCAUGGAGAGGUGAGUGGAAUUCCGAGUGUAGAGGUGAAAUUCGUAGAUAUUCGGAAGAACACCAGUGGCGAAGGCGACUCACU
rnacentral:rRNA from 1 species